GAUCCUGGCUCAGGAUGAACGCUAGCGACAGGCCUAACACAUGCAAGUCGAGGGGCAGCGGAGAGGUAGCAAUACCUUUGCCGGCGACCGGCGCACGGGUGAGUAACACGUAUGCAAUCCACCUGUAACAGGGGGAUAACCCGGAGAAAUCCGGACUAAUACCCCAUAAUAUGGGCGUUCCGCAUGGAGAGCUCAUUAAAGAGAGCAAUUUUGGUUACAGACGAGCAUGCGCUCCGAUUA
rnacentral:rRNA from 1 species